rnacentral:misc_RNA from 1 species
GGUGAAGAACGUAGCGAAAUGCGAUAAGUAAUGCGAAUUGCAGAAUUUCCGUGAGUCAUCGAAUCUUUGAACGCACAUUGCGCCCCCUGGUAUUCCGGGGGGCAUGCCUGUCCGAGCGUCAUUACAACCCUCGAGCUCAGCUUGGUGUUGGGCCCCGCCGCCCCGGCGGGCCCUAAAGUCAGUGGCGGUGCCGUCCGGCUCCGAGCGUAGUAAUUCUUCUCGCUCUGGAGGUCCGGUCGUGUGCUCGCCAGCAACCCCCAAUUUUUUUCAGGUUGACCUCGGAUCAGGUAGGGAUACCCGCUGAACUUAAGCAUAUCAAUAAGCGGAGGA